rnacentral:rRNA from 1 species
ACGGAAGGCAGCAGUGGGGAAUAUUGGACAAUGGGCGCAAGCCUGAUCCAGCGACGCCGCGUGAGCGAUGAAGUAUUUCGGUAUGUAAAGCUCUAUCAGCAGGGAAGAAAACGACGGUACCUGACUAAGAAGCUCCGGCUAAAUACGUGCCAGCAGCCGCGGUAAUACGUAUGGAGCAAGCGUUAUCCGGAUUUACUGGGUGUAAAGGGAGCGUAGACGGCAUCACAAGUCAGAAGUGAAACUCCGGGGCUCAACCCCGGAACUGCUUUUGAAACUGUGGAGCUAGAGUGCAGGAGAGGUAAGCGGAAUUCCUAGUGUAGCGGUGAAAUGCGUAGAUAUUAGGAGGAACACCAGUGGCGAAGGCGGCUUACUGGACUGUAACUGACGUUGAGGCUCGAAAGCGUGGGGAGCAAACAGGAUUAGAUACCCUGGUA